rnacentral:rRNA from 1 species
CAGUCGAGCGGAUGACGGGAGCUUGCUCCUUGAUUCAGCGGCGGACGGGUGAGUAAUGCCUAGGAAUCUGCCUGGUAGUGGGGGACAACGUUUCGAAAGGAACGCUAAUACCGCAUACGUCCUACGGGAGAAAGCAGGGGACCUUCGGGCCUUGCGCUAUCAGAUGAGCCUAGGUCGGAUUAGCUAGUUGGUGGGGUAAUGGCUCACCAAGGCGACGAUCCGUAACUGGUCUGAGAGGAUGAUCAGUCACACUGGAACUGAGACACGGUCCAGACUCCUACGGGAGGCAGCAGUGGGGAAUAUUGGACAAUGGGCGAAAGCCUGAUCCAGCCAUGCCGCGUGUGUGAAGAAGGUCUUCGGAUUGUAAAGCACUUUAAGUUGGGAGGAAGGGCAGUAAGUUAAUACCUUGCUGUUUUGACGUUACCGACAGAAUAAGCACCGGCUAACUCUGUGCCAGCAGCCGCGGUAAUACAGAGGGUGCAAGCGUUAAUCGGAAUUACUGGGCGUAAAGCGCGCGUAGGUGGUUUGUUAAGUUGGAUGUGAAAGCCCCGGGCUCAACCUGGGAACUGCAUCCAAAACUGGCAAGCUAGAGUACGGUAGAGGGUGGUGGAAUUUCCUGUGUAGCG